CAGUAAACAAAAUCAGAUGCAGACAAUGCCAAGGGCAGGGGAGCAGAUGCCUGGGGGGGCUGCAGAACAGGACUGAGGAAGCAGCUGCUCUGGCUCACGCAUGAGGGGAGGAGAAUCACCGACGUGUCUGCCACCAGAGAAGCUGGAGGCACCGGGAUAACAUGCUGGGAAGCGCAGUCCUUGACGCUGGACAGACCUGGGGCAUUGCCCUGGACGCCGGCAGAGUGGCAGAGUGGCCGUGGGGGCAAGGACGGAUGGCUACGGAGACCCUAGGGAAAGGGUGCGGGCCCGUGAGGCUCUUAAAGAAGAGGACAGAAGAAAUAAAAGGGGGGAGAGGAAGAUGGGAGAGCAGAAAGCUAUCUCAAAACAAUGAAAACUUUUAUCUGUCGAUCUGCAACAGGGAAAAAGGUGAUGCAGGAAGAUUGACAUCAUAAACCAUCUUAAUUAAGUAACUGACCUUGCAGAAUAGGGCAGGAUGUGUGGCGCCCAGAGAGAACACUGUCCGUCUGGCGGGAAGGGGUGCUGGCUUUCUUUCCAGCAAGCUCCAGUGGCUCAUGUUCCACCCUGGGGACACGUACAUUCUCGCCCUACAAUGCCUGACUUUGUUUAGUUGUGGUUCUAUGGGGGUGAUUCUUCAGCCAAGAAUCUGCAUUUCUGUUGUGAAAUAACAACAUUGGAUCAGGUUUACCUUGGGGACCAGAUUCGGGAAAGCAGAGUCUGAAGCAGAGUCUGAGCUUUGGGCUCAAAGGUGGAGGGACCUCCUGAAGCAUCUAAUUCCUGCAGACAUUCCCAACCAGGGUCUGAAUGGAGCAGCCUGCAGCAGGUGGGCAGGCUGUAGAGAAGAUCCCUCCAGAAGCCAGAGCCAAGGAAAGGUACUGGGGCCAUGGAGCAGAUGGAGGGGGUCUCCCUCAGCCUGUUGGUGGUCUCAGGCCAAGAGGACAGGUGGCUGAGGAAGUCUCAGUGAGGAAGCACAGCAAAGCGACUUUUUCCUCUCAAGCCCCCGGUAUUUUUCCCACGGACAAUAUUAAUCCCACAGAUCACAGGAGUGGUGGCAUCUGUAGGAACUCUCUUCUUGGGGCGCAGCUCAUGGACAAUAAACUGGCCACACACAACUGGAGCAAGCUGCUAUCAACUCCUGGAAACACAAAGAGAAGAGGCAUUUCUUUGGUGGUGACGUGUGAGAAGAUGGUGCCAAGACAGAAUAUGAUGUCUAGGACAUUAAAUUGCAAAGGAAAGGAAAUCAGAGGUUUUCCUUCUUCCCACUCUGGGAGUUAGCAGUUUCUAGCUCAGAAGAGCUGUGAUGUGGGUAUACAUUGCUACACACAUAUAAAGCCAUUUGUAGAAUGUACAUUUUACAUUUUUCCAAUAAAAUUUUUUCAGUUCUGAGAAGGUACA
rnacentral:lncRNA from 12 species